GCCUAGUACGGCGAGUGAAGCGGCAACAGCUCAAAUUUGAAAUCUGGCUCUUUUAGAGUCCGAGUUGUAAUUUGCAGAGGGCGCUUUGGCUUUGGCAGCGGUCCAAGUUCCUUGGAACAGGACGUCACAGAGGGUGAGAAUCCCGUACGUGGUCGCUGGCUAUUGCCGUGUAAAGCCCCUUCGACGAGUCGAGUUGUUUGGGAAUGCAGCUCUAAAUGGGAGGUACAUUUCUUCUAAAGCUAAAUAUUGGCCAGAGACCGAUAGCGCACAAGUAGAGUGAUCGAAAGAUGAAAAGCACUUUGGAAAGAGAGUCAAACAGCACGUGAAAUUGUUGAAAGGGAAGCGCUUGCAGCCAGACUUGCUUGCAGUUGCUCAUCCGGGCUUUUGCCCGGUGCACUCUUCUGCAGGCAGGCCAGCAUCAGUUUGGGCGGUAGGAUAAAGGUCUCUGUCACGUACCUCUCUUCGGGGAGGCCUUAUAGGGGAGACGACAUACUACCAGCCUAGACUGAGGUCCGCGCAUCUGCUAGGAUGCUGGCGUAAUGGCUGUAAGCGGCCCGUCUUGAAACACGGACCAAGGAGUCUAACAUCUAUGCGAGUGUUUGGGUGUCAAGCCCGAGCGCGUAAUGAAAGUGAACGGAGGUAGGAACCCGCAAGGGUGCACUAUCGACCGAUCCUGAUGUCUUCGGAAGGAUUUGAGUAAGAGCAUGGCUGUUGGGACCCGAAAGAUGGUGAACUAUGCUUGAAUAGGGUGAAGCCAGAGGAAACUCUGGUGGAGGCUCGCAGCGGUUCUGACGUGCAAA
rnacentral:rRNA from 1 species